UGGGGAAUAUUGGACAAUGGGCGCAAGCCUGAUCCAGCCAUGCCGCGUGUGUGAAGAAGGCCUUUUGGUUGUAAAGCACUUUAAGCGAGGAGGAGGCUACUUGGAUUAAUACUCUAGGAUAGUGGACGUUACUCGCAGAAUAAGCACCGGCUAACUCUGUGCCAGCAGCCGCGGUAAUACAGAGGGUGCGAGCGUUAAUCGGAUUUACUGGGCGUAAAGCGUGCGUAGGCGGCUUUUUAAGUCGGAUGUGAAAUCCCUGAGCUUAACUUAGGAAUUGCAUUCGAUACUGGGAAGCUAGAGUAUGGGAGAGGAUGGUAGAAUUCCAGGUGUAGCGGUGAAAUGCGUAGAGAUCUGGAGGAAUACCGAUGGAGAAGGCAGCCAUCUGGCCUAAUACUGACGCUGAGGUACGAAAGCAUGGGGAGCAAACAGG
rnacentral:rRNA from 1 species